rnacentral:rRNA from 1 species
GGAUGCGAUCAUACCAGCACUAAAGCACCGGAUCCCAUUAGAACUCUGAAGUUAAGCGUGCUUGGGCGAGAGUAGUACUAGGAUGGGUGACCUCCUGGGAAGUCCUCAUGUUGCAUUCC